rnacentral:pre_miRNA from 1 species
AACAACGAAGGCGGCGGCGGCGGCCGAUGCGCUUUUUUUUCACUGUUAAUGAAUGGCAAGUGUGCGGGUUUUGUUUUUACGUUUUCGGGUAA